rnacentral:lncRNA from 1 species
GAACCAAGCAAUUGAAUGAUUCUAUCAAGUGAAUUAAUGGGAAAAAGAAAUUAAACCUGAAUUCUGAUGAGAUGGUGGAGAUCUGAGGAGAUGGUGGAGAUCAAUGGUCUGAAAGGAAUCAGCUUGCCUAUACCUGAUGGGGUCUCUUGGUUACCACAUCUGAUUUGAUAAAGAACCUUGGGAACCAUCUUGAACUUGAUGCUGCUCUUUAAGAAGCAGAGGCAGGAAUUGAUUGCUUUCUAAACUUUCCUUUCUCCUGUGCUUUGUUCAUGGUUAUUUAAUGGCUGGUGGAGAAUGAAGAACAUCUAGAUAAGCAGAAUGCACAAUGAUAAGGUCUCUGGACCAUUUUUAAACAUCUUUCAGUUAUAUUGUCAUGAAGAUAGGAAGGACACAAAAAGCCACCUUGAACAAUAUCGGACUAUUUGCCCAUUGAGAUCUCCCAAAGAGCUCUUUGAAAGAAUCAACUACAUGGAUCAUGAACUGGAGGCUGCAACGUCUGAACCUGGGAUUUUCCAAAUGAAAAAGCAUGGGUGCACAUUCUCUCUUGUGGUCUUCUUUGAUUAUGUCUUUCCAUUCAUUUGAUGAUGCAUAAAUGGCCUCCAGGUGCAAGAAUUACCCAAAAUAAUACUGUUACAAUGAAUACAUAGCAGAAGCACAAUCUACGAUCCCCAUCUACACUUUCACAUAAUGCAGUUUGAACUGGAUUAUAUGGUCAGUGUAGACUCAUAUAAUGCAGAUUGAACUGGAUUGUAUGAGUCUACACUGCCAUAUAAUCUACUUCAAUGCCAUCAAACUGCAUUCUGAAACUGCAUUCAGAAGUGUGGCAUUCAAAAACCAGGAAAAUCUUACAAAGAUCCAGCUUUUGUCUCCCAGAGCAAAGUGUAGAGUUUUACAAUGGGCC